rnacentral:rRNA from 1 species
UACGUAGGGUGCAAGCGUUGUCCGGAAUUAUUGGGCGUAAAGAGCUCGUAGGCGGUCUGUCGCGUCUGCUGUGAAAACUCGGGGCUUAACCCCGGGCCUGCAGUGGGUACGGGCAGACUAGAGUGCGGUAGGGGAGACUGGAAUUCCUGGUGUAGCGGUGAAAUGCGCAGAUAUCAGGAGGAACACCGGUGGCGAAGGCGGGUCUCUUGGCCGUAACUGACGCUGAGGAGCGAAAGCAUGGGGAGCGAACAGG